rnacentral:lncRNA from 1 species
ACCCUUCACCGUGCUCUGCGCGUGUGUUGCUAGGUGUGGCUGCUUCCUCGACGUUCAAGCGUGGUUUUGAGGUGACCCUCGGCUCGGGUGACAGUUUCCAAGGCAAAGGACAUGAAUUAGCUGGUUAACUGUCCUAACAGAUCUGACUGAGGACUGGAGAGAGAGCUAAGUGAUGAAGAGCACUGGACGCUUUUGCAAAGGACCUGGGUUCAAUUUGCAGCACCUGCAUGAUGGCUCACACAAUUCUAUCAUGGCAGUCCUUCUGACCUCUGCAGGCACAGCAUACAUGUGGUACCCAGACAUACAUACAAGCAAAACACCCAUAAACAAAAAUACACCCCCAAGUUAAAAAUAUGACACAUUCCUAAAGGCAGUUCCACUGUCUGAGUCUCCUGAAUACUGGCAGUACAGACUUGUGCCACCAUGCUCAAUGCCAUUACCAGCUUAAAUGACCAUGGCUGUACAUGUGGCCUCUGAAGUCCGAAGUGUUUUCCUGCUGCACACGGCCCUCUUGGAAACAGUUGUCAGCCCUCUUGACCGUGAGCACCUCGGACUGUGGCCUUGUGUCCUCUCACAGCCCUGAGGCUGACCUCUGCAGCGCACACUUUUCACCCCAUGCCUGUCUGCUGCCUGCCCAGGCCACAUUGACUUUUCUCACCAAUGACUUUCUGUAAAUUAUCUUCCUAACUCCUGACAGCUGGUAAUGUAACUUCCUAUGAAUUGCUGGUCCUGAACAGAGAAACCAACCAGUUCUAACUGAGGAGGGCAUUGUACUUGUGUAACAUCUUACAAGAAACUAUGAAGUCAAGUGUUGCUUUGAUCUUAGCAUGCUCGGGAUGAAUAAAGAUUAUGAUCG